UAGUAAGAAAUCGCAGACCACCGAAGAAUGACAAUAUGCAGAUAGGGCAUCAAGACCACCAUUUAAAAAUAGACUAAUAGAUAAUAAGAAGAAUUGCGCCAUUAGCAAAAAGUCCACAUAAGUUCACCGAAGUGUUAUUGAGUGUAAGAAUUAAUUAAUUUAUAGACAAAAAGUGACAAGUAAAAUUUAAAAUAACUAACCAGACAAAUCUACCCCAUAGCAUGUACCAAACAAUUAGAGUCAGGACAGUUAAAGUUAGCCGAAACACGAGAGACGAAACGAGAACAUUAUUGUAAGUCAAACAAAACUAGUUAAGAUACAAAUAAUCAACUAACUAAAUUCCAGUUCCCCCUGAUGAAGGCACCAUCCCUAAGUGCCGAAACGUUGGGUAGAUAAUAAACCCGUUUCAAGAAUAAAGACUGCGUAGCCACUAAAAGUUCAAAGUUAAGAAUUUCAGUCGAUCCUUGAAAGUAAUACUUACAAUGGCAGUUGCACAAUCUACAUUCUUCCGGUACAUUGACGAAAAUUUUGGACAUAACACGGUGGAAACUAUGAAAUCAUACGCUACAAACAACAAGAAAUUAGCGCAUCUUGAAAGCCGAAAAUCGUUCCUCGUCCAGUGUAGACGACAAGGUGUAUUUCCGAGGCACAUCAUCAACUCAUUCAAGUGUGUUCACGAGCUUCUGGCUGACAAUGGACCAUACAUCAAUAAAAUCGACCGCACCAUCAGAAGGUUCAAAAAGGCGAUUUUGAAUCUCGAAAUAAAACAGACGUUCCACAAAAUAAGGGAGACUACUAAAGAUAUGGACGGAAUAAUGGGCAACAUACGCUCACUCACAAGCGACAGCGUAGCCGAGGAAUACUCGACCACACAGCGAGCAGCGUACAAUAAAUGGCUAAGAAAGAAGGACGGGGAAACUGCUAGGAAGGUCACCAAAAUAGUACGAGAACUGAACGAUAACGGUACAGGAGAACCGUCUUAUAACGAACGAGCAAUCCUCAAUGCAACAGGCGUAGACAUCCCAGCAGAAACUCUCCACCUCCUCAGCCUAGGCCCGAAAUUCGCCCUGCCAACCACUUCGCCAUCCCAGGUUCCGUUCUACCAUUUCCUUGCAGACACGGAGCGCAUUCUGCUCACUAAUGGGGACCAAAAUGUGCAAAACCGAAAUCGAUGCAAAGUAGUGAAUGCAACGCAGAACUUCAUUCACGGCUUUCACUCUAUGGUAGAGCUCAGAGAUAGUACUACCACUUUCUGUGAACGGGCAACGAACACAACGAAGCAGUUCCUCCGUGCACACCCAGAAGUAUGCGUUCUAUCUGCCGACAAGGGGAAUAGGACGGUCAUCAUGCUGAGAGAGGACUAUGACCGAAAAAUGCAAGCAUUGGUCAACGACACGACUACCUACGAAAAGCUGCGCGCUGAUCCCACGACUCGGUUCCAAAAUGGGAACAAUAACAUAAUCAAGAGGCUCAAAGACCUACACCUCAUUGAUAACAGGACAGCGAACGAGCUGAAGGCCAACAACUCCAUCUGCCCUAGAAUCUAUGGACAGCCGAAGGCUCACAAACAAGACCUUCCACUCCGGCCGGUCAUACCAAACAUAACGGCACCCACAUACAAGCUAGCCAAAUACAUCGCAAACAUUCUGCAAAACUCGCUACACAGCCGAUAUAGCACGAGAAGCUCAUUCGAAUUUUGCGACGAAGUGAACAACAUCAAACUACCAGAAGGUUACAUCAUAAUCUCUCUUGAUGUAACUUCAUUGUUCACAAAUGUCCCACGAUGGUUAGUCACCAGGAACAUAAUACACAGAUGGAAUGAAAUCGACACCAACAUAAAUCUGGACCUAUUCCUGGAAAUUGUGGAGUUCGUUAUGGAGGCCAGCUACUUCUGCUACGAUGGGCAAUUCUAUAAGCAGACAUUCGGAACAGCAAUGGGCAGCCCACUCUCGCCCAUCCUGGCAGACAUAGUUCUAGAUUCGGUCAUCGAUGCAGCUAUGGAAUCUCUACCAUUCGAGAUCACCAUCUUCAAGAAAUAUGUGGACGACAUCUUCAUGGCGAUUCCUCAGAACACCGAACAACAGGUACUGGUAGCGUUCAACAAGGUAGAACCAAGACUGCAAUUCACCAUCGAAGCAGAAAACGAACGGAGGUUGCCAUUCCUAGAUAUGACCGUCAUCCGCAACCAGGACCAAACUCUAGCUACGGAAUGGUAUGCCAAGCCAAUCGCAUCGGGACGUAUGCUGAACUACAACUCCUUCCACCAACCGAAGCAUAAAAUAAACGUAGCGAACAAUUUCAUUCAUAGAGUUUGCUCGCUAACGCGAAAUAAAUCAAUGAAUGAAAUAGGGACGAUAAUUCACCAACAUCUGCUAAGGAACAACUAUCCCAAGCAACUCAUCAACCGGUUGUUAAACCUCUACAUAAACAAACGGAGGCAAAACAACGUAGAUGAAAUUCCAACAGCAUCGAUCACUGAACUCCCGAAUGAUGAUCCCAGCCAACCAUCGUGUCAGCCACCCAACCACCCACCCAGCCAACCAUCAUGUCAGCCACCCAACCUCCCACCCAGCCAACCAUCGUGUCAGCUACCCAGUCGCCCACCGAGCCAGCCAUUGUGCCAGCCACCCAACCAACUACCAGAUCAACCCACCAUAAACCACACUGUACCCCAGCAUAUCCCCCACCAAGACCUAACAUCACCAACAAACCACCAAACUGAAGACAGCAUACCCGAUCAUCACAUCACCAAUCCGAUGAGGCAUCCCACGCACGGCACCGAAGAUGAAACCGAAAAUCCACAUAGGCAAAACCAAACAGUAAGCACAACACAGCAACCAAUUUAUCGUUCCAUUCCAUACGUCCCAUCUCUCUCCGACCGUGUCACAAAAAUUCUGUCUAAGGAUUACCCAGAGAUCACUAUCGCCACACGACAACACAGAACUGUCAAAAACCUCCACUCCAAAAUCAAAUUCCCUGUAAAAAAAGACGAAAUUAGUAACAUUAUAUAUAAAAUACCUUGUAACGAUUGUGAUGCAUGUUACAUCGGUAUGACGAGGAACAAUUUGCGAAAACGAUUAACUGGACAUAGAGCUAAUGUAAACAAACUUGACAAAUUGAUGAACGAUGAAGAACAUACACACACAAAUGAAGCCCAAAUAGCACUAAUAGAAACCACCACAGCCCUAAUAGAACAUUGUAUAACACAGAACCACAGAUUUCAACUUGACCACACCAAUAUUAUAGACCAUAGCCAUAAACCUUCCACACUCCCAUUUCUUGAAAUGUGCCACAUCACUAACACAGAUAAAACGGUGAACAAACGGACAGACACUGAUGGACUCAAUACAACAUAUGCUGGUUUGUUGCACGACAUCAAGACUAUCUAUCGACAAGACAAAUCUAGUAAGAAAUCGCAGACCACCGAAGAAUGACAAUAUGCAGAUAGGGCAUCAAGACCACCAUUUAAAAAUAGACUAAUAGAUAAUAAGAAGAAUUGCGCCAUUAGCAAAAAGUCCACAUAAGUUCACCGAAGUGUUAUUGAGUGUAAGAAUUAAUUAAUUUAUAGACAAAAAGUGACAAGUAAAAUUUAAAAUAACUAACCAGACAAAUCUACCCCAUAGCAUGUACCAAACAAUUAGAGUCAGGACAGUUAAAGUUAGCCGAAACACGAGAGACGAAACGAGAACAUUAUUUUCCCCCUGAUGAAGGCACCAUCCCUAAGUGCCGAAACGUUGGGUAGAUAAUAAACCCGUUUCAAGAAUAAAGACUGCGUAGCCACUAAAAGUUCAAAGUUAAGAAUUUCAGUCGAUCCUUGAAAGUAA